rnacentral:rRNA from 1 species
CUCAGGAUGAACGCUAGCGGCAGGCUUAACACAUGCAAGUCGAGGGGCAACGCGAGUAGCAAUACUUGGCGGCGACCGGCGCAAGGGUGCGUAACGCGUGAGCAACAUGCCCGUAUCAGGGGGAUAAUCCAGGGAAACUUGGUCUAAUACCCCAUAGUAAUUUGUAAGGCAUCUUAUAAGAUUUAAAGCUUUGGUGGAUACGGAUUGGCUCGCGUGACAUUAGCUGGAUGGUAAGGUAACGGCUUACCAUGGCUAUGAUGUCUAGGGGUUCUGAGAGGAAGGUCCCCCACACUGGAACUGAGACACGGUCCAGACUCCUACGGGAGGCAGCAGUGAGGAAUAUUGGACAAUGGAUGGAAAUCUGAUCCAGCCAUGCCGCGUGAAGGAAGAAGGUCCUAUGGAUUGUAAACUUCUUUUGUAUGGGAGCAAUAAGGCCUACGUGUAGGUUGAUGAGAGUACCAUACGAAUAAGCACCGGCUAACUCCGUGCCAGCCGCAGC